rnacentral:sRNA from 1 species
ACUUAAUUUCAUGAGAGAUGUAUUGUGAUGGAGUACAAAUUAGGUGUUAUUACCAGAACAUAACUUUUUUUAAUUACAGUCAUAUUUUUAAUACUCAGUGUGCCUCUACUAAACGUAAUUAUAGGGAAUGCCACUGUCACGUCAGAAAUUGAUGACGUAGAUUAAAUGAACUCAGCCGUAACGCGAUACAACGGGAGUAAUGACUGAGUUACAGUAUGUUGCGGCUGACUUAUAACAAAAACAUAUGAACUAUAACAAAACGGCGAAGUAUGAGUAUAACUCAGUCAGACGUUACGUCUGAUAUAUCAAAUGUUACCUCAGUUAUACUAUAACUCAAGCAACGGUAUGGCUGAGUUAAGGAAUGUUGUCCGAGUUAUAAGAAGUUAUACGAUAACCCAGACAAUGUUAUGGCUAAGUUAUGAGAAAACGGCUGACUUAUUUCCUCGACACGGCCGAGUUAUAUUUUUGGACGGCUUAGUUAUAGGAUGAUGUGACGGCUGAGUUAUGGUCGAGUGUUAUAAAUCAGCCGUAAAGAGCUGGAUUACGGUAUAACUCAGCCUUGUUACGGCUUAUUUAUGUGCAAAAGAUUAAUUAUUAUAAUAGCAUGCAGUUACGGCUGAGUUUUUAAACGUUACUGCUGAGUUAGUUGAGUUACGACAUAACACGGCUGACUUAACUUAGUUUUUUUCCUGUUUUUUUCCUACGAGUGACUUAUAGAUUUGCUUGAUGGCUCAGUUAUGAACUAUUCGUUUGGUGGCUUACUUGUCACCUCAUCACUUCAAAACGACGUCGGCUGUAAUAUUCCAUGUCAGCAUCGUCAACGGAAAUACGAAACGUCCCUUGCUUCUUUAACUCGGCCGUCUCCCUUAUGUUGCUCCUGAUGAAAGAGAUGAUGGCUUCGAA